AGCGGGAGUGACGUACCUACGUUCUGACCGCUCUGCGCAGCUAAUCCGCCGAUCUCUAUCGUGAUUUGUCCUCCAGGCAGUAGCGCGCAUGCGUGCCGGAAAGCGGAAGUGACGUACCUACGUUCUGACCGCUCUGCGCCGCUAAUCCGCCGAUCUCUCUGGCGAUUAGUCCUCCGGGCAGCACAGCGCAUUCGCGCCGGAAAGCGGAAGUGGCGUCUCUGCGUUCUGACCGCUCUGCGCAGCUAAUCCGCCUAUCUUUAUUGUGAUUAGUCCUCCGGGCAGUAGCGCGCAUGCGUGCCGGAAAGCGGAAGUGGCGUCUCUGUGUUCUGACCGCUCUGCGCAGCUAAUCCGCCAAUCUCUAUCGUGAUUAGUCCUCCGGGCAGUAGCGAGCAUGCGCGCCGGAAAGCGGAAGUGGCGUCUCUGCGUUCUGACCGCUCUGCGCAGCUAAUCCGCCGAUCUUUAUUGUGAUUAGUUCUCCAGGCAGUAGCGCGCAUGCGUCCGUAAGUGUACAACUAUCACCCGUCCCUACGACCCAGUAAAGGGUGAGCGAGCAUUCAAUUCGUGGACUGCUGGCUCAGCGAUGUUCUCCCUCUUCCAAUCCAGGAUGGCCUUUGUCUAUUUCCACAGUUUUACGCCUGUGUCCGAACCGGAUGUUGACUGUCCCUGUGCGUGUUGCGGCACCCGAUUUGCUCGUCGUUGUACGUGACCAUCAGGUGCCUGCCCCAACACUGCGCACGCGCACUAGCUCAGUGGUGCUCACUGCUGCUGCCCAUUGAAGUGAAUUUGGUACUGUAUGUGCUGCUCAGAUCCUGCAGACAGCACAGCGCAUGUGCGCAGAAAUGCGGAAGUGGCGUAUCGGAGUUCAGACCACUCUGCGCAGUGAACAUGCCAAUCUUUAUCGUGAUUAGUUCUCCAGGCAGCAGUGCGUAUGUACUCAAGGACGUACAGAAGACAUGGAUUUCUCUGAAUUCCUUGCAGUGGAGGCAAACAGAGCAGCCACGGACCGUCAGCUCUGAGCAAUGCUCCCCCAUCUACUCUGCAAUAUCUCUUGUCUAUUUUUGUGUUUUUAUGCCUGAGCCCGCGCAGAGCACUAGCCGUUUUGUCUUGAGAAUGCUCAUGCGCACGCUGUGGCGUUUGAUUGGCUAAUCGCAGCAUGGGAUUGACAAGUGCCUGCCCCAACGCUGCGCAUGUGCACUACCACUGUGACACUCGCUGCUGCCGCCUAUUGAAGAGAAUUCACUACUGCAGGCGCUGCUCUGCACACGCGGAUGGCUUUGUUUUCUGUAGCUGCUCGAGAGCAGCGCUUGCAUCUAUCUUUCCCUGCUGCCAGUUCACAGCCCUGGGAAUGGACUGGUUUGGCUCACAGCUGCCCCUGCAUGCCUCAUGGCAUCCAAUUUGCUCACUGCUGCAAUGGACUGACAGGCAUCCCCCUGCCAUUUAAUAAGUGCUCUUUGCUGCGGGGGAUCUGGAGCUGCUCAGAGAUUCUUGUGGCAUGGUACUGAUGUGGAGCCAUCCCUGGGACCAGUGCGGAGUGGCCCCAGCACUGCAACUUCCCAGGUCCAGCUUGGAGCGUCUCUGUGGUCACCCCAAGUGGCACAUUGCCCAGCUUCCUAGGAGCUGCUUUUCCACCAUCUCCGGGUACCUUGCCACGUGCUGCAUGUAAGCAGCCACGCCCACAGGGCGCAGCCAUGUUGCUCUGCGUGUGCCUGCCUCAGAGACGCUGCCCUGCACGUGUGGAUAAUGCCUGCAGCACUGCCCUGCGACCAACGGAGGGCACCAGAGAGCUGCAGCGCUGCCGAGAAGGGGAAGAACCGCUCCGUGGCUCUGCAGGGGAACAGAAUAAAUCUUGAAACAGAGCAGGAAGCAGCAGGAAACCGCAUCGUGCUAGACUGAACGGGGAAAAAACCCCACCUGAUCACCUGCCGAUUCUUGCCUGGAUGUUGCUCAGCAAUGGAAAGACGCCAGUCCAGGCAGGUCCUGGAACUCAACUUCAGUGACUUCCCCCUCCCCAGGAGGCACACUCCGAGCUGGUGCCACGUGAUCCUGCUGCCACAGUGGAAGCUGAACCCUGAGACAGACCCCAGGGCACCAUGCUGCAGACCAGCUGCUUCUACUGCACCCUCAUCCACACACCACCUCAGCAGCUAGUUCUGCAGCUGUGGGACUCGAUGGCUCAAAGAAGGUCAGCCCUCGGAUGGCUUCAUGCUGGGACUGGCACAGGGUCGCACUGUUAUGGGUGCGGUAGAGCCCAUGGAUCGUACCAGCAGCUGCACUGGUGAGUUUUUCAGCGCUGCUGAGUACGCAGACUUCCCCGCCUGCCCUGACCAUGCCCCAAUCUCCAAACUCCUUUCCGUCAUCGUGUCUCACAGCCCCAGGCGUCUCGCUGCGGUGUUGCUGGUGGCAGCGGAGAACUGCGGUGCUCCUGGGUGGUGCAAGAGCUGCACGGAGAUCUGUGGCUCUUCAUGAAGUCAGCAAGAAACAGAAAGCUGCAUUUCCUGGAAUGCCCUGGGACUCUGCUUUCCUGACUGGCUGCUGGUUGUCAUAAUGGAUAAGGGCAACGUACACCUACCAGUGUUUACCUGUGACUCAGUGUGGCUCAACAUAGUGCUCCCAGAGCUUGUUAUGGUGCUUUAGGGUACCCUGAAGGCUGCCUGUGCUUUUCCUCCUGAGUUCUCUUUGGCUCUGUCCUUUGCCUGAGGUGUUCCCCUUGUUCUUGCCUUUGCCUUGGUUUUUCUCUUCCUGUUUUCUUUGCCUUGGCCUUUGAGUUCCCUGCUGUGUUCUCCUGGCCUUUGCCCUUGCCCUCGCCUGGGCCUUUCUUGCGGCAUUCUCCUUG